UGUUGUGUAACUGGGAAUGGAGUUUGGGACUGGAUAUGCCAGCGGUUAUCUGAAGGCGGCGCUGGCAAUAGUUGGGAGGGGAAAUGUUGUGUAACUGGGAAUGGAGUUUGGGAGGUUCAGCCGAGGAAUGGCGGAGUCCGGUGAAGGACUUGAAGGCGAUGGAGGAAGUCAUUCUGGUCUUAGGUGUGAAAUUUUUGGUGGAGCUAACUGUGAAAUGUGAAGCGAG
rnacentral:misc_RNA from 1 species